AGAGUUUGAUCCUGGCUCAGAACGAACGCUGGCGGCAUGCCUAACACAUGCAAGUCGAACGAAGUCUUCGGACUUAGUGGCGCACGGGUGCGUAACGCGUGGGAAUCUGCCCUUGGGUGCGGAAUAACCUCUCGAAAGGGAUGCUAAUACCGCAUAAUGUCGUAAGACCAAAGAUUUAUCGCCCAAGGAUGAGCCCGCGUAAGAUUAGCUAGUUGGUGGGGUAAAAGCCUACCAAGGCGACGAUCUUUAGCUGGUCUGAGAGGAUGAUCAGCCACACUGGGACUGAGACACGGCCCAGACUCCUACGGGAGGCAGCAGUGGGGAAUAUUGGACAAUGGGCGAAAGCCUGAUCCAGCAAUGCCGCGUGAGUGAUGAAGGCCCUAGGGUUGUAAAGCUCUUUACCAGGGAUGAUAAUGACAGUACCUGGAGAAUAAGCUCCGGCUAACUCCGUG
rnacentral:rRNA from 1 species